GGCUGGUCCCAGGACAGUGGUGUUUACAACUAACUGAUCACAACCAGUUACAGAUUUCUUUGUUUCUUCUCCACUCCCAUUGCUUUAUCUGACUAGCCUUAA
rnacentral:Y_RNA from 1 species